AACGGACGCUGGCGGCAUGCCUAACACAUGCAAGUCGAACGAAGGCUUCGGCCUUAGUGGCGCACGGGUGCGUAACGCGUGGGAAUCUGCCCUUUGCUUCGGAAUAACAGUUAGAAAUGACUGCUAAUACCGGAUGAUGUCGCAAGACCAAAGAUUUAUCGGCAAAGGAUGAGCCCGCGUAGGAUUAGCUAGUUGGUGGGGUAAAGGCCUACCAAGGCGACGAUCCUUAGCUGGUCUGAGAGGAUGAUCAGCCACACUGGGACUGAGACACGGCCCAGACUCCUACGGGAGGCAGCAGUGGGGAAUAUUGGACAAUGGGCGAAAGCCUGAUCCAGCAAUGCCGCGUGAGUGAUGAAGGCCUUAGGGUUGUAAAGCUCUUUUACCCGGGAUGAUAAUGACAGUACCGGGAGAAUAAGCGCCGGCUAACUCCGUG
rnacentral:rRNA from 1 species